GAUGAACGCUGGCGGCGUGCCUAAUACAUGCAAGUCGAGCGAACGGACGAGAAGCUUGCUUCUCUGAUGUUAGCGGCGGACGGGUGAGUAACACGUGGAUAACCUACCUAUAAGACUGGGAUAACUUCGGGAAACCGGAGCUAAUACCGGAUAAUAUUUUGAACCGCAUGGUUCAAAAGUGAAAGACGGUCUUGCUGUCACUUAUAGAUGGAUCCGCGCUGCAUUAGCUAGUUGGUAAGGUAACGGCUUACCAAGGUAACGAUGCAUAGCCGACCUGAGAGGGUGGUCGGCCACACUGGCACUACGACACGGUCCAGGCUCCGACGGGAGGCAGCAGUAGGGAAUCUUCCGCAAUGGGCGACAGCCUGAAGGAGGAACUCCGCGUGAGUGAUGAAGGUCUUCGGAUCGUAAAACUCUGUUAUUAGGGAAGAACAUAUGUGUAAGUCACUGUGCACAUCUUGACGGUACCUAAUCAGAAAGCCACGGCUAACUACGUG
rnacentral:rRNA from 1 species